rnacentral:rRNA from 1 species
ACGGAGGGUGCAAGCGUUACUCGGAAUCACUGGGCGUAAAGGGUGCGUAGGCUGACUUUUAAGUCAGGCGUGAAAUCCAAUGGCUUAACCAUUGAACUGCGUUUGAAACUGUGAGUCUAGAGUUCAGGAGAGGAAGAUGGAAUUACUGGUGUAGGGGUAAAAUCCGUAGAUAUCAGGAGGAAUACCGAUGGCGAAGGCGAUUUUCUGGGACUAUACUGACGCUGAGACGCGAAAGCGUGGGGAGCAAACAG